AAUCAACGCUGGCGGCGUGCCUCAGACAUGCAAGUCGAACGAUUAAAGCUCUCUUCGGAGAGUGUAUAGAGUGGCGCACGGGUGAGUAACACGUAAGUAAUCUACCCUCGAGUGGGGAAUAACAACCGGAAACGGUUGCUAAUACCGCAUAAUGCAGCGGCACCGCAAGGUGACAGUUGUUAAAGAUUUAUCGCUUGAGGAGGAGCUUGCGGCAGAUUAGCUAGUUGGUAGGGUAACGGCUUACCAAGGCUACGAUCUGUAACCGGUCUAAGAGGACGGUCGGUCACACUGACACUGAAUAACUGGUCAGACUCCUACGGGAGGCAGCAGUCGGGAAUUUUGGGCAAUGGGCGAAAGCCUGACCCAGCAACGCCGCGUGAAGGAUGAAGUAUUUCGGUAUGUAAACUUCGAAAGAAUAGGAAGAAUUAAUGACGGUACUAUUUAUAAGGUCCGGCUAACUACGUGCCAGCAGCCGCGGUAAU
rnacentral:rRNA from 1 species